AUGAGGCUGCUGGGUCUUCUCCUGUGUCUGCUGACACCCCCCCGAGGUGUCCUGUCCCAGGUGCAGCUGCAGGAGUCAGGCCCAGGACUGGUGAAGCCCUCGCAGACGCUCUCCCUCACCUGCACUGUCUCUGGUUACUCCAUCAGCAGUGGUUACUGCUGGGACUGGAUACGCCAGCCCCCAGGAAAGGGGCUGGAGUGGAUUGCAGAAAUAUGUAGUAGUGGGAGCACUUACUACAGCCCCUCCCUCAAGAGCCGAACCUCCAUCUCCAGAGACCCAUCCAAGGACCAGUUCUCCCUGCAGCUGACCUCCGUGACAACCGAGGACACGGCCGUGUAUUACUGU